UCCCGUGUGGCUCAGUUGGUAGAGCAUGGUGUUUGCAACGCCAGGGUUGUGGGGUUGAUUCCCACAGGGGAC
rfam:Salmo salar isolate Sally breed double haploid chromosome ssa28, whole genome shotgun sequence.